rnacentral:rRNA from 1 species
CCCGCACAAGCGGUGGAGCAUGUGGUUAAUUCGAUGCAACGCGAAGAACCUUACCUGGUCUUGACAUCCACGGAAGUUUUCAGAGAUGAGAAUGUGCCUUGGGAACCGUGAGACAGGUGCUGCAUGGCUGUCGUCAGCUCGUGUUGUGAAAUGUUGGGUUAAGUCCCGCAACGAGCGCAACCCUUAUCCUUUGUUGCCAGCGGUCCGGCCGGGAACUCAAAGGAGACUGCCAGUGAUAAACUGGAGGAAGGUGGGAUGACGUCAAGUCAUCAUGGCCCUUACGACCAGGGCUACACACGUGCUACAAUGGCGCAUACAAAGAGAAGCGACCUCGCGAGAGCAAGCGGACCUCAUAAAGUGCGUCGUAGUCCGGAUUGGGGUCUGCAACUCGACUCCAUGAAGUCGGAAUCGCUAGUAAUCGUGGAUCAGAAUGCCACGGUGAAUACGUUCCCGGGCCUU